rnacentral:rRNA from 1 species
CCUACGGGAGGCAGCAGUGAGGAAUAUUGGUCAAUGGGCGAGAGCCUGAACCAGCCAAGUCGCGUGAAGGAUGACGGCCCUACGGGUUGUAAACUUCUUUUGUCAGGGAGCAAUUGGGUCCACGCGUGGGUUUAGCGAGAGUACCUGAAGAAAAAGCAUCGGCUAACUCAGUGCCAGCAGCCGCGGUAAUACGGAGGAUGCGAGCGUUAUCCGUAUUUAGUGGGUUUAAAGGGAGCGUAGAUGGGUGGUUAAUUCAGUUGUGAAAGUUUGCGGCUCAACCGUAAAAUUGCAAUUGAUACUGGCAGUCGUGAGUACAGUUGAGGUAGGCGGAAUUCGUGGUGUCGCGGUGAAAUGCUUAGAUAUCACGAAGAACUCCGAUUGCGAAGGCAGCUUACUAAACUUCCACUGACAUUGAUGCUCGAAAGUGUGGGUAUCAAACAGGAUUAGAUACCCUUGUAGUC